GGAAGGAUCAUUACCACACCGAUCCAACGAUCAACACCCCUGUGAAAUUGUGAAUGUUUUGACUAUACACUUUUUGUUUUGCGUGCUGGCUUCGAAGGUCUGAAACUUCUUCAGGCCGGACUUUCCAUGCAUCGACAAGACAUUAAACACACACAAACCACUUUACUUAUCAACCACUUUUUCAAUCUGAAAACCACAAUUAACUGUCUUGAGGCCACGCAAGUGACUCGAGGCGGCCAAAUGUCUUAAUCUGAAACAACUUUCAGCGAUGGAUAUCUUGGCUCUCGCAACGAUGAAGAACGCAGCGAAAUGCGAUACGUAAUGCGAAUUGCAGAAUUCAGUGAAUCAUCAAACCUUUGAACGCAAAUUGCGCUUCCGGGUACCCCUGGGAGCAUGCCUGUAUGAGUGUCUGUUAACACCACUCACGUCUCUCUUUUCUCAUCUCUCUCUCCUCUUUUGGGAGGGAGUGGGGGGCUGGGGGAGAUCGUGGACUUUGAGAUGUCCUAGACCACAGCAGCAGCUCAGCUUUUGUUGUGCGUCUAUGUCUCUUCAAAUGUGGAGUAGGAAGCCAAACCCACACGGUGUCUCAUCUCCGUGUCUCUUUCCAUCUCAAGCGUGGUAGUUGUGUGACUUGCUUACACAUCCCAAACGCUGUGAGUCGUGGUUUGUGGACAAUCAGGAAUGGUGAGUGCCGGGUUUCUCAUCCUACCGCAAAGAGAAGCACUGCUACUGCUGGAAGUGAAACUGCUCACGCGGUGACACCUCAGGCGGUGGCUCGCUGCAACCCUCUUUCUUGGACCUCAUAUCAAGCAAGAAGACCCGCUGAAUUUAAGCAUAUAACUAAGCGGAGGAAAAGAAACUAACCAGGAUUCCCCUAGUAACGGCGAGUGAAGCGGGAAAAGCUCAACUUGAAAAUCGGUGCGGCCCCGCCGCUCUGAAUUGUAGUCUAUAGAAGCUGUUGUCAGUCACGGUCUCGGGAGAAGUCUCUUGGAACAGGGCAUCAUAGAGGGUGACAAUCCCGUCUGUGCCCGGGAAUCCGUGACGUACGGCACGCUUUCAACGAGUCGAGUUGCUUGGGACUGCAGCUCAAAAAUGGGUGGUAAAUUCCAUCUAAAGCUAAAUAUGGGCGAGAGACCGAUAGCGAACAAGUACCGUGAGGGAAAGAUGCAAAGAACUUUGAAAAGAGAGUUAAAAAGUACUUGAAAUUGCUGAAAGGGAAGCGAAUCAAACCAGUGUUGAUGCGCGGUCAUCUUUCAGUGGCGAGUGCCUUUGGGCUGCGUGUCGGUGAGGCGUCAAACCCCUCCGCUGUAGUUCCUUUGGGUUCUCUCCGCUGCGUUGUGGCCGUGCGUAGCUCAGCAUCAGUUCUUGUUUCUGCGGGAUAGGGUACGUGGGGAGGUAGAGUACGGCUCCGUCGUGCUUGUUAUAGCUCGCGUAUCGUGUCGUAGAGAGGACUGAGGUAUUCACAGUGUACGCCUUUUCGGCUGGGUGCGUUGCGCUCUGGUGAGGUGCUUGGGCUGGACUGCUUGCAGUGCUGUCUGAUCCACUUGCCACAGCUUGGCGUUGUCCAUGUACGCUCGGAUGCUGAGGAAAUGGUUUGAUCCGGCCCGUCUUGAAACACGGACCAAGGAGUCUAACAUUUAUGCGAGUAUUCGGGUGGCAAACCCUUGUGCGCAAUGAAGUGAAGGUUGAUGUAGGUCAACCGAGGUAGGACGGGUGGCUUCGGCUGCCCGCACUAUCGACCGGCCAUGAUCCUCUGGAGAAAGGUCUGAGUGUGAGCAUAUAUGUUGGGACCCGAAAGAUGGUGAACUAUGCCUGAAUAGGGUGAAGCCAGGGGAAACUCUGGUGGAGGCUCGUAGCGAUUCUGACGUGCAAAUCGAUCGUCAAAUUUGGGUAUAGGGGCGAAAGACUAAUCGAACCAUCUAGUAGCUGGUUCCCUC
rnacentral:misc_RNA from 1 species